rnacentral:rRNA from 1 species
GUGGGGAAUCUUGCGCAAUGGGCGAAAGCCUGACGCAGCCAUGCCGCGUGAAUGAUGAAGGUCUUAGGAUUGUAAAAUUCUUUCACCGGGGACGAUAAUGACGGUACCCGGAGAAGAAGCCCCGGCUAACUUCGUGCCAGCAGCCGCGGUAAUACGAAGGGGGCUAGCGUUGCUCGGAAUUACUGGGCGUAAAGGGCGCGUAGGCGGAUCGUUAAGUCAGGGGUGAAAUCCCAGAGCUCAACUCUGGAACUGCCCUUGAUACUGGCGAUCUUGAGUGUGAGAGAGGUAUGGGGAACUCCGAGUGUAGAGGUGAAAUUCGUAGAUAUUCGGAAGAACACCAGUGGCGAAGGCGACAUACUGGCUCAUUACUGACGCUGAGGCGCGAAAGCGUGGGGAGCAAACAGGAUUAGAAACCCGGGUAGUCC